UUGCUUUUUGGUGCUUGCUUGGCCUCUUGGCUGAGUGGGUGGCUUUUAGCCGAGCCGUCUUCGGGGAUGAUUUCCGUAAAGGUGCAUGAGUGGUGUUUGGUUUGUUGCGGAUGGUUGGAUGUCUGCUUGCGCAGCAACUUCCAUGCGGGCUUACCUCUUCAAUUGUGCUACAAGCCUUGUUUGGCUUGCAGCAUUUAGUGGGUUUCUUGUGUUGAUUACCUAAUCGAUGGCAUUGUUCGUCCCCACUAGUGUGAUUUUGUAACACGUUGCUUGCGGCGUGAUACAAACAAUGAAGCAACCUUUGUUGUUCAACCUGUUGCUGCUCAUGCAUCGAUGGCUUGACCCAU
rnacentral:misc_RNA from 1 species